UACGGAGGGUGCUAGCGUUAAUCGGAAUUACUGGGCGUAAAGAGUCUGUAGGUUGCUAUUUUAGUCUUUUGUGAAAUCCCUGGGCUUAACCCAGGAACUGCAUUUGAUACUAUCUAGCUCGAGUUAAACAGAGGAUUGUGGAAUUUCCGGUGUAGCGGUGAAAUGCGUAGAUAUCGGAAGGAACACCAAUGGCGAAGGCAACAGUCUGGGUUUAAACUGACACUGAGAGACGAAAGCUUGGGUAGCAAACAGA
rnacentral:rRNA from 1 species